UAAGGAUGACCUCAGCUUGCUUCAUCCAUCCCCUGAAGCUACUGUGAUGUUGGACGAAGCCAAAGAAUCCAUAGAAUCCUGAGCACGUUGCUCUGGUUUCAAAUCUGACAAAAACCCCAGGGAUUUUCAUACCCCUGUGUUUGAUCGUUAGCCUACCCUGAAGCCCCAUGGUCCAGAUCCAAUUUCUGGAGCCUUCUACUGUUUGCGGGGCCUGGGUGGUUGCCAUGAGCAGAAACACUGUUCAUCUUGUGCCCAGUCCAUAUCAGGAUGAAGAGGGAAAGGCUGCUCUUUUUUUGGCCCCUUAAAACACCUCAGUUAUCAAGGAGACACCUGGAUCCCAAACUUGACCAUCGACCUACAUGGUGAA
rnacentral:lncRNA from 1 species